UUUAUUUCAUAAUAUCGGUGGUUUAGUAUUAACAAGUUGCAUGCCAGUUGGCGUAUUUAGUACUCCCUCCAUUCACAACUUUUUUUGUAAGUCAUUUCAGACAAUUCAGCCAGUGAAAGCGUUCUUCGGUAAAAGCUAUCCCCAUCCCGAACGAUGCUUUUCCUCCCCAGCCAAACGCUCUGUUCCUCUGCUUAUACUUUCAUCUCACGCACACUGACCCAGCCCGAUGCACAUAGGGUGAGCGGAGCCGUGGAGGCCGACCGGCGCAGCUCUCGCUGUCAUACUCGCCGGCGCCGAGAACCAGGCCGGGUCCGAGCUGAGCGUCUCCAUCUGUCGUCAUGGGCGGGGGGCUAGGGGCGAGGGAGGCGGCCAUCUGCGUGCUCCUCGCCGUCGCCGACCUGACCGUCCCCGAUGCCAUCGGAGUCCGCCGUCGCGCCGAGCUGACCGACGCCAUCAGAGUCCGCCGUCACGCCGAGCUGCGUCCCCUCCGCCGCGCACCUUCGCACCUGGAGGCGACGGCGCCGUCCUAGCCCCUCGGCGCCCUCCUCCUCAUGAGCGACGGAAUCCUCCUCGUCGUCUUCUCCAGCUUAUCGGGACGCUGGGAACUUGUCCGUUGCGCGGCAGCCCGGAGGCGACGGCGCGAUCCUGCGCCGCGACACCCUCCACCGUCACGUCUUCUCCUAGCCCGGUGACCAGGGCGCUGCCCAUGGGUGACGGGACCCUCCUCCUUGUCUUGUACGGGCGCUGGGGUUGCCAGGAAGUCCAGGCCAGAGGCCAUCGUGCGCUAUUUUUUGCUAUCGCUGCUGUGUGUCGCUACUGUCAGGCGCAGAUGAUGACAGAGCUAUUUAGGUGCAGAUGAUGACAGAGCUAUUUUAGGUGCAGAAGAUGGCAAUUUGAGUAGAACAUGACAUUUUUUGUGCACAACAUAGCAAAUUGUCGGACAACUUUUAGUAGAUUUGUCAUUCCUACUAUUUAGUGUACUUAGAAUUCUUGAUUCACUUGAGUUGAUGUUGAGUACAACAUGGCAAUUUUGUUAAAAAUGUCAUAGGUGGCAAAUUGAGUACGACGUGACAUUUGUUUUCAUUCUCUACGAUGGAUCAUGGCAAUUCACACACCAUGGCAACUCUUUUACUCUUUUUUUGCUGUGGCAAAUUUCACACUAUUAUUGCCAUGGCAAUUUCACUUUUAAUGUCAUGGCAAACUUUUAAUUUAUUUCGCCAUGGUCCAUGUGAUAUAUUUGCCAUGUCAAUAUAGUUAAAUUUGCCAUGGCAAGUUUCACGUGUUUUUGCCAUGAGAAAUUAAGAUAUGUUGUUUUUCCGUUAAAAACAAACAAUUUUUUUGAAAGUUUCUAAGACAUGGCAAUCUUGCGGUCUUAAAAUAGGUUGCCACCAUUUCUUCAAAUGUAUGCUAUAUUUUAUUUGUUCUAACGACAAACUUAUUAUAUGGACCAUGGCAAAUAUAAUAUGGACCAUGGCAAGUUUACUAUAGCCUGAUCCAUUAAAUGAAUCUGUAGAUGCACUUGUGCUAGUUGCCAUGGUAACAUGGCAAUUUUGUAGACAAUGUCGAAGAUGGCAAAUUUGAGUAGAACAUGACAUUUUGUGCGCACAACAUGGCAAUCUUCGAACAACUUUUUGUAGUUUCCCCAUUCCUACUAUUUAUUGUACUUAGAUUCUCGACUCACUUGAGUAGAUGUUGAGUAGAACAUGACAAUUUUGUUAAAAAUGUCAUAGGUCGCAAAUUGAGUAAAACGUGACAUUUGUUUUCAUUCUCUACCAUGGCAAAUUUAUUUUGAUCGAUCGUGGCAAUUCACACAUCAUGGCAAAUUUUUAACUGUUUCUUUGCCUUGACAAAUUUCACUAUUAUUUGCCAUGGCAAUUUCACAUCAUUUUUGCCAUGUUCCAUGUGAUAUAUUUGCCAUGUCAAUAUAGUUAAAUUUUCCACGGCAAGCUCCAUGUAUUUAUGCCAUGGCAAAUUAAGAUGUGUUCUUACAGGGUGUUUUGCCAUUAAAAACUAGCAAAAAUUCUGAAAAUCUUUAAAGCAUGGCAAUCUUGCCAUCUUUCAAAUAAUUUGCCACCAUUUUCUUCAAAUGUAUGUUAGUUUUUAUUUCUCUAACACGGCAAACUUACUAUAUGGACCGUGGGAAAAUUAAUUGAUGGACCAUGGCAUGUUUUUAAAUCAUGGCAAACCUGCCAUCUUUCAAAUAGUUACCAGUAUUUUUUUCUUGAAAUGUAUAUUACUAUGAUUCAUAUGGAUAUGGCAAAUUUGCCAUAUUUUAUUUAUCUCUUUUGAUAUGGCAAACUUUUUUAUGGACAAUGGCAAAAUUAAUUUAUGGAUCAUGUCAAGUUUAAUCCAAGUACCAUGGCAAAUUCAUACUUGAUAACAUGGCAAAAAACAAUUACAAGUGUAAACCUUUUGGUAGCUAAGUUUUUCAUGAUAGAUAGAGCAUUUUCCAUCAAACAUUGCUAUGGCCCAUGGGAAAAACUUUUUAACCUGCACGUUUUCUCAUUUAAUAUCAUGCCAUUUUCUCGUGUAUAUGUCGUUUUUCUGUUUUUACUUCCUGUUGGUUGUGUGUAAGGAAAAUGCAAGUACAUUUGUGUAUUGAAUUAUGAUGAAGCUAAGGAUUUUGUAUCCAUUGACAUGGCAUUGCUCAGAAUAUUUGUGUACAUGCCCGAUGACAAUUUUGUUCUAUCUUAUAUGGCCAAUUUUUUUCAUUAUAUCAUGGCAAAUUUUCCACACUCAUUUUUUUCAUGAAGUGUGCAUGAACAUCAUGGCAAAUCAUGAAAGUUUCUAUAAUAUACCUUUUUUCAUGAUUAUAUGGUAGUUUUGUUCAGAAGGAUGGCAACCUUUUGUUCCUAGAUUUUUUUCAGGUAAUGUUUUUCUUGGUCCAGUGCAUUUUUAGGCCGUUUUUGUGUUCUCUACAAAAAUUUGGGACAUAAGCAGUUUUGGGCCUUCAAUAUUGUAACUCUUUGUUUUUUUAUUCUUGGAGCAAAUGGCGUUUCUGGGCUUUGUCCCAUUUUGGGCUGGUCCGCUGGAGGGGGAGGAGCCAGAUCUUUGUGCUAGCGACAAUAUUAUGUGAGGUGGGAUUCCUUCCACCGAACGUGCGUUCCAGCGACCCUCCCAGCACGAACAAUUCGUUCGGGCUGAGGUGUCUCCAGCCGAACGUACGGGCGUUAUCAGUGUCCAAAGUAGUGCGAUGUAUGCAAACAUAGGAAAGUUUUCUUGUUGGGUAAAGCAAUAUUUGUCUUGCAAGUUUUCGUAACAAAGUUUCAGAGGCGUGUCAUCGGUGUCUGGAGUUCUGCUCCCUCUGUGAAACAACAAUAAAUUUCAAUGAGGAAUAUGAGUGCUUUGUA